AAGGGGAUAAUUUAUCUCGAUGAGAACAAUAGGACAAAAUAAGCACAUCAAAUACAUAUAACCCAAUAACUCAGACAGACAAUUACACAGAAUCUCAAAUUUAUAUACUAUCGAACUCAAUUGGAGAAGGUGUUUGAUAAACCCCCAAAAUGCUUUACAGAAGGGAACUGUCGAUGUAUCAGUAUUGGGGAAGGGGCCUUGUUUCCUAUAGAGAUGUUGUCAAAUCACUAAACCUUCUAUAGACAAGGAAGCAAGCGAUUUAUUACAGGUUCAGUCUCCUGACAAUACAUUAUCUGA